rnacentral:tRNA from 1 species
GUGUCCGUAGCUCAUGUGGCAGAGCGCGUGAUUGUGGCUCACGAGGCAGCCGGUUCGAUCCCGGUCGGACACCCCA